UUUUUUUAACUAUUUUUGUACAUUACAAUGCAGGUUCGUGUAUGACAUAUGAUUGUAAAGCCAUUGGAAGAUAUAUAUCCGAAAUGGGUCGAGGUUGAACCAUAUACUGAUUUUGAUAACAUGAUAGUUGACAUCCUCAAUGAUCAGCUAAAUGAUAAGUUUUGGGAUGUAGUGCCACGUACAAAGUGCAAGAAGAGAAAAACUCAUGUCAGCACAUAGAAUGUUUCCAAUACAAUGGAUGCGAGCCUCUCCACCAAAUGAAAGAAAGAGAAAGAAACUGCUCUAUAAAUAGUAUGUAGCAAGCCUUAUUAAACAUGAUGUUCCUUUUGUUAGUGGUUAAAUUGUUUUGGUGUGUUAAUACUGAAGGAACACAUCAUGAUUAUAAGCUACUGUGGGGAUUGGCGUUAAAUGUUUGUCUCAGUUUUGCAAUUCCUAGUAGCAAAUGCGUAGUAAUUUUUUAUACAUACAAUUUUCUGUAAUCGAUAUGCAACUACUUGAAUGAUUGUAGUCGCCAUAUAGUUACAAAUACUAUUUAAAUUUAUAUGAAUUUAAUUGUUCAUAUGCACUUAAUAAAAUAAUAAACCAAAAAAAAAACAGCUAUAGCUUGAAUCAAUUUGAGUAGCACUAUUUUAUUUUGUAGUAUCUCGUGUUUUAGUAAUUAAGUUACUUCUAUUACAUGGUUGUUUAAGGAAUAUAUUAGGGGUGUUUGGGGUUAGGUGGCUACUAUUUUGACACUAAUUUGUCACAGAAAUAGCGAUAAUGUAGUUGCCAUAUAGUUUCAAUGUAUUUGCUAUUGUAUAAUAUCACUUUUUCAAAUGUACUAUUGUUUAAUAUCACUACUAGUAAGUUAAUGAACAAAAUAAAAUCUAUAUUGUAAAUACGUUUGAGACAUUUUAAAAAACAGUUACAUAUCAACACCUGACAUUACUAAUUUCAGAAUAAUAUAGAAGCGAAUAUUAUGACUAUUUUAACCAUGUAGGAUUAUAUAGCACGGCGAUAUAUGGUGACUCCUAUAUAAAAGUUUUUUUUUCUUAGUCGUCCUUAAUCAACCCAAUCUCGAAUAAGAUUAUCUUUACACAUUAUGACAUAUGUUUAUCUUUUAUAUAAUAAAAAUUGCAAAUUAAUAGGUAUGUUAUUAACCAUAAUUAAGUAGCAAAUUUUCAAAUUAAUAUGAUAUUUAUUAUAAUUUGUAACCAAUUUGCAACCAUAUAUUGGAAAUAGUUGCUUUAUAGUCUCAUAAUCGGGCUCCAAAAAAUUUACCCCUAAAUUUUGUCUAAUUUUCACAUUAACCCGCCUAAUGUUUCAGAACAAACAAUUUACCCACCCUAAUACGACCACAUUACACAUUUAUAUUAAAAAGCCCUUAAGCAUCAUUCCUUUCUUCUUGACCUAAUCUCACUCCUCACAGAGAUAAAUUGAUGUUUGUUUUCGGUAGAUCACUAAAAGUUCGCGCAGGUGGUUGUGGCACGAGUCACGGUAGUGGUCGCGUUGGGAGUCAAUCUGGUGGCGUUAAUAGCUCUUACGGAAGAAGUUACUCUGCCUCGAACCCAAGCACUUCUAAUUCAAGAGAUUUAGUGUCUCUCCCUGUACAAUACGCACAUACUCAAACUUCUAUCCUAGAGAAUUCACCGACGUCGGAGCCUCAGCGUCAUCCACCGCACUUCCCUGGUUCCUCACCGACCAGUGAUGAUUCUUCUUUUUCAACGGAACACAAUCCUCAUCAAAUGCCGAAUCAAAACCUACGUCUUCCACCACCUCAGAAUCCAGUGACUUUUGAUGAUUUGCUGGCAAUUCCUAGACGUGAGACUAUCUUCCAGUCUUAUCACCGGUUACAAAAGACGAGUACUACUUGGUUUGAUCGUUAUGGUGGGAAGCUGGCUUGAAAGAUAUCAAAGCUCUUGAAACCAAAAUUUAACUCUCCUUAUUACUGCUGGUCAGAAACGCCCCCUAAAUUUGAAUGUCGAUAUUUUGAAGACUUUGCGCAAGGACAUCAUUGGGAUAGCUCGAUCACUACACUUGUACAAGAUGAGGUUGAUAUCAUCUGUUUAAAUCGGAUGAAAGGAAUUGUGUGUCAAGAAAAAGAGGAAAGGCAUACGACCACUUUGGAUUAGAGAUACAUUAUGGAAAAAAAUGUGCUCCUACUAGGCCACUGAUGCUGCCAAUAAAAAGAGUAAAACUGCAUCAAAAUGUCGGAACUCUGACCGUAGUGGACUUGUUCCUUUCAAGAACUUUGCAAAACAAAUGUCCUUUUUAUGGGUUCAACAAAAUAUGUAGGAAGAAUUGGGAAGACAUGUGAGUAUUGGAGAAGUGUUUAUAACGACACAUACAAAGGCUGACGGUACAUGUAGUGAUCUAAAGGCUCAGCAGAUCGCCCAAGCUUAUAAAAAACUAGACAGGAAGUUGUCCCAGGUUGAACAACGCUUUUUUGAGAAUUGUGUUGGUAGUUCUUAUAUUGCCGAGCUUGCCCAAAUGAAAUGAACUAGAUAUUUCUUGAGGUAAACCAUUUCACAAUUUUAAAGGUAUAAGAGUCAUUUGCCUCUUAAUAAAGAAGGUAUUUUAAAAAAUGUCUUUUUAGUGAUGGUAAACAUGAAUAAUGACACCAACA